GUCCCCUUCGUCUAGUGGUUAGGACACCGGGUUUUCAUCCCGGCAACGGGAGUUCAAUUCUCCCAGGGGAUG
rnacentral:tRNA from 4 species